rnacentral:rRNA from 1 species
CCCUUAGAUGUUCUGGGCUGCACGCGCGCUACACUGAUGCGUUCAACGAGUGUAUAACCUUGCCAGAUAUGGUUGGGUAAUCUUUUGAAAACGCAUCGUGAUGGGGAUAGAUUAUUGUAAUUAUUAAUCUUCAACGAGGAAUUCCUAGUAAGCUUGAAUCAUCAGUUCAAGUUGAUUACGUCCCUGCCCUUUGUACACACCGCCCGUCGCUCCUACCGAUUGGCUGAUCCGGUGAAUAAUUUGGACCGGUGGUCUAUUUGGUUCUCCAAAUUGACCGCUGGAAAAUCUAGUGAACCUUAUCAGCUAGAGGAAGGAGAANUCGUANCA